GCAGUAGAUAAAGUUCUGGGCUUGGAAGACCCGAGCUCAAAUCCAGCCUCAGAUACUUACUAGCUAUCGCCUGGACAAGUCACUGAGCCCCUGUUUGCCUCAGUUUCCUCAUCUGUAAAAUUGAGAUAAUAACAUCUGUCUCCCAAUAAACACUAUAUAAACAUCAGCUGAUAUUGCCUUAAAGUUGACAGAGGGCGAGUCAGAUAAUCAGGUCAGCCAGGUAGGCAGGGCCAAGGCUGUAGACACUUUCCUAUGGUCCUCGCAGUAUUAGGCUUCUCGAGCAGGGGUGCCCUGGUCAGGCCUAAUCUUUAGGAAGAUGAUGUUGGCGACAGAGCAGAAGAUGGAUCGGAGUGGGAGGAAAACUUGAGACAGGGAUCCCAACCAGAAGGCGAGAGCCGUUGUCUCGACGUGAGGGCAUGAGGGCCUGGGCCAGAGGGAGUAGGGAGAAGCGGCCCUAUGCUAGAGGUGACAAAGUCUGGCAUGAGGUAGAUUGCAGGAUGCCCACUAGACUGAGAAGCUGGUUGACUGGGAAGAGGGUGGUGCCCUCUACAGUAGCGAAGAAAUUUGGAAGAAUGGAGGAUUUUCAGACGGUUGGAAAGGGAGCAAGGUUUAGGGGAAAAGGCGACGAUUUCUGUUUUGAAUUUGAGAUGCCCGUGUGACGUCCAGGUCAACGUGGCCAAGGGAAAGUUGGAGAUGCAUGACUGGUUCAUCGGAGAGACCAGGACCGGAGAUAGAGCGCAGGGACGGAUGCCCUUGGGGACACGGCUAGAUCCUGACCCCAUUCUGUGCUUUCUUCUCCCCCACUCAGGAGGACGAGGAGGACGAGGAUGUGGAUGAGGAAGAGGAGGAGGAGGAAGGGGACGAGGAAGAGGAUGAAGAAGAAAUGGCUGAGGUGGAGAUUAGUGAGAAAGAAGAGGAGCUGGGCUCUGAAGGAGAGGAUGUUGGAAGUGUGCCCUCCUCCAAGGCAGAGGCCACGUCCUCCGAAGAAAGUGAGGACUCUUCAGAUUAUGAGUCCAGUUCAGAGUCCGAGGAGGAGGAAGAGGAGGAGGAGGAGGAGGAAGAGGAUGAGGACGAGGCUGAGGCCGAGGAAUUAGCGGCGGAAGCGACAGCUGGGGAAAGCCAAGACCCGCCGGGAGCCGGGGAGCCAGCCGUGGAGGCCGGAGCGCUCGUGGAGGAUGAUGACGAGGUGGUGACCAUCCUGGAGUUGACGCCGGUGGUGGAUGAGCCAGACUUACCCAACUUGGGGGCGGAGGAGACAGCGGGAGUCGGGGAUGCCCCGGAGCUGCCAGGCCUCAAGCAGGUGGGAGAGAUGUUGGCUGAGCUCCCCAUCUCAGCCGGGCCCCCGGAACCGCCGAGGCACCUGACCCCGUCACCUGUGGAUGCUUCAGGGGAAGAGUUAGAGGCAGAGCUCAAACCUGCAGAGAUCCCCAAGGAGACAUCUUUGCGGCAGCUGCAGCGACUGCCCAGUCCGUCUGUCCUUCCCCCAGAGGCCGCACCUCAGCAGGGCAGCUUCCUGCUGGAGGCUGAGGUGGAGGGCCGGCCCCACACCCUAGGCCCCAAGGUGGUCCUUCCUCUGGAACCAGAGCCCCUUCGACUUCAGCCUCUGUUCCCUGUCAGGCCCCCCCAGCCGCUGCCUCUCCCGGAAGAGCCCCUGCAUGAAGAACCACCCCCCCCGGACGCCAGGCCGGGACCCUCUGGCCAAGUCCCAGAGCACAGAGACUGUGCCAGCCACGCCGGGCAGUGACACCCCCCUCACUGCCAGCAGCCUGGCCCUCAGUUCCCCCCAGGUUCCCAGCAGCCCCUUCUCCUACCCGUCUCAGUCUCCGGGGCUCAGUGGUGGUGGCAUCCCUCGGACGCCUGGGAGAGACUUUAGCUUCACACCCGCUUUUCCUGAGCCCGUGGGGCCCCUCCCUCUGUCUGUCUGCUCCCUCCCACCUGGCAAGAAGCUCCCUGGGGAUGAUCGACCAGGGCCUGCUGCUCCAGCUUCUUCCAGCCCCCUGGAAACCAGUUUCCCCCUGCCCGUGUCUCUCCCGGUGCCCCUCCCGGUGCCCGUCCCUCUGCCAGUCCCUCUGCCCCUCCCUCCGGGUCCAUUGUUGCCCCGCUCUUCUACCUUGCUACCUCUGCCCUUGACCUUGCCCCUGGCUCUGCCUCUGGCCCCCUCCCUACCAAGCCCCUGCCCCCCUCCCACCAAGAGGAAGCCCGGGAGGCCCAAGCGCUCGCCCCCAGCUGUGCUCACCCUGGACGUGCCUCCGGGAAGGCUCGCCGCUGUGCCUCCUGAGGCGGCGGGCCCCAAGCUGCUGC
rnacentral:lncRNA from 1 species